UAAUAAGAAAAUUUACGGUAAACCUAUUCUCAGCCUCUCCUGCUCGGAGACCAAUGAGAUGACAGCACACUCACAUCUCCGCUCAUCUCAUUGGUCGAGGUACUGUCGCUUGCGAAGAAGAUACCGGAAAACAACAAAGCAGCAUGGACGACAGUGACGCCGACGGUGCUUUACAGGUCUCGGGGGGUCACACCUUCCAGCAGCAAUGCAACUACUCCUCCGAGAAAAAAAGAAAAGAAUGCAAAAAUACCAAGAGGAAUGGGAAGAAGGAAACACAUGGGUGGGAAACGUGCGCGAUAACAUCUAUAAAGCGCACUGCAAUGUGUGCAGGCGGACUUUCUCCAUAGCCCAUGGUGGACUAACUGACCGAAAGCAAAGUGCUUCCAGAAGAUCACUGAGCAGCUUCGCCUGGUUGGCAGGCUAAACAUCUCUAUGGACAAGCUUUAUGAAGAGUGUGUGACAGCAAACAGCCUUCUGGAGCACCUCACAACAGUACCUCAGGGGAAGGAGAAAUGACAGUCCAAAGGAACAGCAGAGAAGUGGAUGCAAGUUCUCCAGGCAGCUGACGUUCCCAACAUCCAGGCUGUUGUAUCCUCUGUCUUCAGCAUCCCAUCUUCCACUGGGUUUGUGGAGAGGAUUUUCUCUUUAAUGAAGAAUAAGUGGGCUGAUGUGUGGAACAAAUGUUCCACUGAAUUAAUUAAAGGAGAGCUCAUUGUCAGUCUUAAUUAUAAAAUGUCUUACAUGGCCUUUGAGGCACAACUGUUUUUUGUUUACAAGUUUCCCUCAGACUUUAUGUUUGCACUUUUCUUAUUGCAAUAAUUGUGCACUAUGUUUUGCUUUGUAUUUUUUACAGUUUUAAGUUAAGCAGGACAGAUAUUUUAUUCUGUUAAUUUUGUUGUUUUGUAUUAAAAAUAAAUUGCUGAUAAUUAUUUAUUUUCCAUGUGUUCAUAUCACUCAAAUCUGCAUCUAAUUCAAUUCAGGUUUGAGUCAAAUAGUUAAAAAAUUGCUUCUCACAUACAAAAAAGGGCUAAAAAGAUUCACUACGCCAGCAAGGGUGAAUGUAAUCGGGCCGGCCGGCCCUGCCAAUGAGGUGUCCCUUAUUUAUUUUUCAGGGAGUUGGCAACCCUAAAUCACGACCAAAUAAGGUAGUGCAAUAAUUCUUUUUGCAUUUAAAACCAGAGGAGUUACACUCAUAUAUUCCUCAUUCAAAGUGUCCUACGUGAUUACGUAAUGCGCAUGGACGUCACGUGAUUUUCUUGAGCGGCACUUCCCGCAAAAACAGGAAAUUACAUCAUUUUGUAGUUUUCCCGCAGUAAACACUUGUAGACGCGUUCACGCUCUCUCUCCCGAUCCAUUGACCGCUCUCGUCUUAGUGCAUGCACUCUUCAUUUAGGUUUGUUUUUCACAAAAACACAGAGAUACACACAUCCUACACACAGAGUGUAUACUUUUGAUAAGAUAAAAUGUGAUUUCAUUUCAUGUUUAUUUACUCCAAAGUACAAAAACAGAAUCAUUUUUUGUUGUUUGUUGCACUUUUUAUGAAUGAGCAUGGUCUUGUACAAAUACAUGUGUGCUCAUAAGUAUCUGGCACACUGAGAUUUCAUUUCACUAUUGUAAAUAGUUGAUGAACAUGCUGUCUUUUUGCAAAUUCCUUUUUGUUACAGUGUAUAAAAAUUAGUGUAUCUCAAGUUAUGAAGUUAUGAAGACACUCAAAAUAUUUUUUCUGUGGUGGAAAUGAUUUUGUACAUCUUUCUUACAUUUACAAUUGAGGGACACAGCUAUGAUAUUUCUGUAUUUAGAAAAAAUAUGGGAAAUUAUAAAUAUGGGAUUUUCUUUUUUGUAGUUUAUUGGACUUAUUAGUAACUUAUUUAGUUACUAUGGACUUAUUACAUAUAUAUUAUUAAAAUUUGGGCUAUACAGGUUGUAUUGAUGUAUAGCACAUUAAAAUACUCCAAAAAUGGCACUACAGCACAUGAAAAUGUAGAGAUAUGCUCUGUUGGACUUGGUCUGUGGUAGGUCAUAAAGGGUCUGGCGUCAUUUGGAAAAAAUACAAAUAGCUCCAAAUGAAGCACAGCACUGACAGUGGCUUUGAUCCUCACCAGUAUCCCCAGAGAUUUUUCUACAAUGGUCUGCAGGUUAGACUUUAAUACACAGAGUCUCCUGACAGUAUGUACAGCGGACCAAUACUUUCUUACAAGUGAUACAGAGAUUUGAUUACCUGAUUAUCGACCUCAAGCCUGUUUUUGACCACAAUUAUUGCCCAACAAUUUUGUACCUUCACCUGUACAUUGAUUUCACUUUAUAGCCUUGUCUAGUAAACUUUUUGAACCUCCA